AGGAAAUAUUGUUGAUGGCAUUGUGGUUAGAGUCCCGCCAGCCACAGGGACAGAUGGGGAACAGCAAGAGUCACCCAGAACAGGAGUUCUCCUCGCGGUUUCUCCCCGGGGAGCAGGCUGAGGUCAACAGGCUGUUCGAUGCUCUGUCGUCGGAGAAUCUUGGCUCCAGUACCUCGCACAGAUCCUUCUCUCUGCAGGCACUGAAGGCAAGGGGCCAUGUGGGGGACGCUCUUCCCCCAGAGAUGGUCACCAGACUGUUCGAGGGCAUGCAGAGGGUGGACGGCAGCAGGAAGGCAAAGGGGCCCAGCGAGCACAUCUCCCAGAAGCAGUUCACAGUGUCCAUGUCCCACCUGUUGAAAGGAACUGCCGAGGAGAAGAGUCUCGUGAUCCUGAACAUGAUUUCUGCCUCAGGAGGUCCUGUGAAAGCAAGAGAUGUCUACAAGUUUACAGAGGACCUGGUUGGCUCUGUGGUGCAUGUGCUAAACUACAGACAGGAGCUGCGAGGCUGGAGUCAGAAGCCACCCCCAGGCUCCCCGUCCAGGGUGCAGGUGCUGGCCGCCCAGCUGUGCUCCGAGAUGAAGCUUCAAGGUGGCGGGAAGCUUCUGGGGCCUCAGUGGCUGGACUGUGACUGUGACGAGGCUGUGCUGGAGGACUGGGUGUUCCGGGCCCACCAAGUGGCCACGUUUCUGAGCCUGAUCAUCCACCAGGGCUUCCUCCUCCUGUGCUCGACCCUCGAGCUGGCCGCCCUGGUCCCCAAGCGCCAGGUGGACCCGCAGCGGGAGUUUGCCAGCCUCCUGGACAUCCUGUCUGUCAUCUACAUCAACUCACACCUGCCCCAGGAGCGGCGGCUCCGCUGGCGCCUGCUCUUCGCCACUGAGCUCCACGGGAACAGCUUUGCCCAGCUCUGCGGGCGCAUCACACACAGGGGGCCCUGCCUGGUGCUGCUUGAGGACUGUGACGGCCACGUGUUUGGGGGCUUUGCCUCCUGCUCCUGGGAAGUCAAGCCUCAGUUUCAAGGGGACGACAGGUGCUUCCUGUUCUCCAUCUCCCCCAGCAUGGCUGUGUACACUUGCACGGGCUACAACGACCACUACAUGUACCUGAAUCAAGGGCGGAAGACCAUCCCCAACGGUCUGGUGACCUCAGCCUGCAGCAGCUUGAAGCAGGGUUUUGGUACCCAGCCAGCGAUGGAGGUCAGGUUGUGGCAGUGAGAGAGUGGAAUCCUAGCCCCCAGACUGGUGGUCAGGGACAGGGUAGUGCCAGCUCCUGCCCAAGCUUCCGGCCUGUCCUGCAGACGUCAGUCUCGCCAGCCCCGACAAUGAGGUUCCUCACGGUUCAUCCCAGGGCCCGGCAGGACGGAACAGUGGAUGCCCACGGGGACCGAGGACUCAGGGCUGGGCCUGUGCUCCCCACUGGCUCCCCAGGAACAGCUAGUGUUUCAGGCACAGGAGGCCCAGCUACCCCGCACAGCUUUCACAGAAAGAUGGUGGGGCUGCCGGAAGCCUGGGGAGGACGCUGGGGAGCAUGCCUGGGGUUCCGUCCAGGGCGGGUGUGCUUGGGACCCGGAGGGCCGCAGUGGUCUCUACGUGUGGCCUUCUCAGCAGGAACUGCUGGCUGGCCCAGUCUGGUCUCCAGGUAAGCAGGGUCCCUGUCACACAGGCCCCGUUACAGCCCCUGGCGGGCUUACACACUCCUAGGGCUUACACACUCCUAGGCCCGGGCAGCAUGUCAGAGGCUGAGCCAGCGUAGACCGUGGUCCAUCCAGCUGCCCCGGGGCCUCACCGCACCCACCUGGGGCCUCUUGUCCCAGGAUGGAAGGGGGGUGGCCAGGGUGUUGCGAUCCCUCUGCCCUCCCCUGACUCCCAGCAGGGGCUCCAGCCCCUGAGUCUCGCACCUUCUCCACACCCACACUGCGUCCCCCGCUCCCGCCCGGUGCUCAUGUUCAGGCACAAGCCCAGUCCCCUGGGGACAGGAUGGCCCCUCGAGGGGACUUCACGCCCCGGGCAGGCAGUGAGGACAGCCCCCGGUGAGCCCUCCCACUCACCGAGCGCCCCCAGGCUCUCCGUCUGGAAGACCCUCUGCAGGGGCGGCGUGUAGAUGACGGCCAGCUGGCCCAGGAUGGAGCCAAGCACGGAGUAAAGGAACGUGCGGUUCCGGAGGAAGCCGAUCUCGAAGAUCAGCUUGGUCUGCAGGGGAGAAGAGCAGUCAGCGCAUAGGAGCCGCUGGAGCACUCGGGCCGGGAGGCCGCCAUCCCGUCCUGCCGGGGGCUCACCUGGGAGCGGCAGGUCAAGGCGUUGAAGAGGUCGAAGAGCACGAAGCAGGUCACUGGCUCUCUCAGCACAGGGGUGCCUGAACCUGCGGGGCCACAGAAAGGUGACCCAUGGAAAGACCCCCUGCCUACAGAGGAGAAAAGAGUCUCUUCAGACUGGACUGCUACAGGUAAAAGAGUGAAAUCAGAACAUUCUCUAACACCACACACAGAGAUAAACUCAAAAUGGAUUAAAGAUCUAAAUGUAAGACUUGAUACUGUAAAUCUCAGAGGAGAACAGGAAAAACACUGGCGUAAACCACAGCAACACUUUCUCUGAUCCUCCUCCUCAAGUAAUGAAAGUAACAACGAAAAUAAACACGUGGGACCUCGUUAAACUUACUUCAGACUGCGAAAUGUAACAUGGCAGGGGUUUUUGUGUGCUUGACACCGUGUCCGGGAAGGAAGGGCCUGAACCUGGAAGCUUUGGAGCCUGCUGGUCCAGGCCUCACAGGGCUGGCUGACCCUCAAAGGCCCAGUGGACCUUGGUCCAAAAGGUAAGUUUGUUGCUUUGUAAAGCCAUUUUAGUGUCCUUGACCAAGAGGACGAUGCAAGAGGCAUCGUUGCCUGGAUGAAUAGAGGGUGUGCUUUCAAGCCCUGAGACCCUGAGUCUAAGAGCUUAGAUUUUUUCCCCAUGUAUUUUUAAUUGGAGGAUAACUGUGAACAGUGUCAUGUUGAUUUCUGCUGCACACGCCGUGAAUCGGCUGGAAGUAUGCACGUGCUGCCUCCCCCCUGAGCUAGCAUCCUGCCCGUCUCGGUCAUCACAGAGCUCCGGGCUGAGCUCCCCACGCGGUGCCGCAGCACCCCACUAGAUGUCUCUCUCACACCGGGGAAAGUGGGUGUUUCGGUGCUACUUCCCGGAGCUAGAUCCUCACGGAACAUUCCUCUGAGGACUUUUCCGGUUGUCCUUGAUAUUUCUAAGUCAAUGAGGAGUAUCCAGUUUUCAAGUCUUAACAGCUACUUCUGGGGACUUGGCCCUCAUCUCUGGGAUUUGAAUGGGAGGGAGUCAUGGCCCACCUUCCUCUCUUAGAAGCUUACAGUGAUCAUGUUUCUCUGCUCCCCUUGGGGAUUCCUCUCUUUCUUGCCUCACAGUUUGCCGCUUACAGUGGAGGCUCAGCAGGCAGGAUGACAGUGCUGCAGUUCUUUCUGGACCUCUGGCAAAAGGGAGUCGGCAGGGAAGACCACCACUCCCCCAAGGCUGGGUGUUCUUGGUACGUGCUGUCCACAGCCCUUCACUGUUCUCAGAACCCUUUGCCAGUGCACUAAUCUCUUUGGAGAUAGACAUGUUAAGUUUCUUUUGCACAAUACUUAGUACAGUGUCUGAAUUAAUUAUUAACAUUUAAAAUAUGUUCUUUCUUAACUCCCCCAUUUGCUUUGCUCACAGCCUAUUCUGUUCCUUCGUUUGGCAGAAUUCUGCAACCUCACCCACUACUGAGAUUGCUCGGUCCCUGAUGUAUUGGUAUUGAUUUGUUUCUAGUGGCAGCUUGUCCUAAAAUGUGGGUAACAAGCAGCUGUUUCAUAAUAAAGUUGUUGCGUAGUACAUGCUCUGUGUGGAAUGCAGAGAAAGAUCCAGAUUCCGCGUAACAGUGCCAAAAAAUAUAAGUAGCCAUUGUUCAAUUCACAGUAGUGCUAUUUCUCUUUCGUGGCCUUUUAGACUUUUGUUGCCCUAAAAUUUCAUUUUGUUGGGAGCCCGCAUUUUCUACCUGGUAUUUCUUGACAGGAUUUUUUUUUUUCUACUUUAGUUUCUAAAUAAGAUUCUGUAUUUCAAAAAAGAAAACACUUUUGCACAGCAAAGGAAGUCAUAAGCAAAUGAAAAGACAACCCUCAGAACGGGAGAAAAUAAAGCAACCAAUAAGGGAUCAAUCUCCAAAAUAUACAAACAACCCAAUAAAAAAAUGGACAUAAGAACAAAAUAGACAUUUUUCCAAAGAUGAUGUACAGAUAGAUGGCCAAGAGGCACAUGAAAAUAUGCUCAACAUUGCUAAUUAUUAGACAAAUGUAAAUCAAAACUGCAAUCAGAUACCAGCUCCCACCAGUCAGAAUGCCCAUCAUCAAGAAGUCUAUAAACGCUGGAGAAGGUAUGGAGGAGGGCAACCCUCUUACACUGUUGAUGGGAAUGUAAAUUAGCGCAGCCACUAUGGAGAACAGUAUGGAAGUUCCUUAAAAAACUAAAAAUAGAAUUACCUUAAGAUCCAGCAGUCCCAUUCCUGGGCAUAUAUCUGGAGAAAAUCACAAUUUGAAAAGAUACACGCACCCUGAUGUUCAUAGCAGCACUAGUCACAAUGGCCAAGCCAUGGAAGCAGCUUAAGUCUCCAUCGGCAGAGGAAUGGAGAAAGAUGUGGGGGGUGUGUGUAUAUUAUAUAUAAUGGAAUAUUACUCAGCCAUAAAGAAUGAAACAAUGCCAUUUGCAGCAACAUGGAUGGACCUGGAGAUUAUCACACUAAGUCAGACAGAGAAAGACAAAUAUGAUAUUGCUGGAUGUGGAAUCUAAAAAAAAAUGAUUCAAAUGAACUUCUUUACAGAACAGAAACAGCCUCACCGACUUCAAAAACAAACUUCAUAGUUAACAAAGGGGAAACGUGGAGGGGAGGGAUAAACUGGGACUCCGGGAUGAAUUUAUAUAAAAGGACUUACUGUAUAUAGCACAGGGAACUCUACUCAAUAUCCUGUAAUAAACUGUAGUAAUAAUCUGAAAAA